AUACGUAGGUGACAAGCGUUAUCCGGAUUUACUGGGCGUAAAGGGCGUGUAGGCGGUCUUGCAAGUCAGAAGUGAAAUUCCUGAGCUCAACUCGGGCGCUGCUUCUGAAACUGCAGGACUUGAGUGCUGGAGGGGAUAGCGGAAUUCCUAGUGGAGCGGUAAAAUGCGCAGAUAUUAGGAAGAACACCGGUGGCGAAGGCGGCUAUCUGGACAGUAACUGACGCUGAGGCGCGAAAGCGUGGGGAGCAAACAGGAUUAGAUACCCUGGUAGUCCACGCCGUAAACGAUGAGCACUAAGUGUCGGAUGAAUUUUCGGCGCUGCAGUUAACACAAUAAGUGCUCCGCCUGGGGAGUACGGUCGCAAGACUGAAACUCAAAGGAAUUGACGGG
rnacentral:rRNA from 1 species